rnacentral:misc_RNA from 1 species
AAGUCGUAACAAGGUUUUCGUAGGUGAACCUGCGGAAGGAUCAUUAGUGAAUUACCGGAUUCCUCUGCAAAGAGAAGGUCCGACCCACUAUCACACACACUUGUGCACUUGUCAUUUUACAAAUUCAUUUUUGGUAUUUUUUUAACACUUUUGUAUGCAAACUUGUUUGUUAUAAAAAGCUUUGAUAAAGGAAAGAAAAAG